ensembl:lncRNA
GAAAGAAGAGGGUCAGGGGUUGGGGCUACCAUCCCUUUGGUCUGUAGUUGAGAAAGGGGGCCUCCGCUCAGGGCUCGGGGAGGAAAGGCUCAGCCGCAAAACUUGGAAAUGGGAGUCUCGUACCCUUUGGCCUGUGUUUGAGGGUGAGGGAGCAAGGCACCUCUAAGGGUUCUAGUCUUUGCUUCUGGGGCCCAAGAAAAGGUGCAGUGGAACGCCCAGGCUCUCUGGGAGAAGCUGGCUCUUCUGGGGCUUGUUCUGGAACAAGGGAAAGGAGGCUCAGACCAUCCUGUUGGCCCAAAUCAUGGCCCCUGAGCCGUGCAUUCAACUGCCAGGCCAGUGUCUUCCAGGUGGCGGACUCAAGUGGUGUCACAACAACCUCAUGGAAGAGGCAGUAGGGGGAUGCUGCUGCAGAUGGUGCGUGAGAGAGGAAGAAGUUCCUUCAUUCAGAGGCAUCCACUCAACUGAUUCUGCUGCUGCUGCUGCUGCUAAGUCACUUCAGUUGUGUCCAACUCUGUGCGACCCCAUAGACGGCAGCCCACCAGGCUCCCCUGUCCCUGGGAUUCUCCAGGCAAGAACACAGGAGUGGGUUGCCAUUCCUUCUCCAAUGCAUGAAAGUGAAAAGUGAAAGUGAAGUCACUCAGUCAUGUCCGACUUUUAGUGACCCCAUGGACUGCAGCCCAUCAGGCUCCUCCAUCCAUGGAAUUUUCCAGGCAAGAGUACUGGAGUGGGUUCCCAUUGCCUUCUCCAUUUUAGAUUCUAUAUAUAAGUGAAAACAGAUUUUUAUCUUCCUCUGUCUGAUUUUUUUCACUAACUAUAGUAACCUCCAGGUCUAUAUGUGUUGCAAAUAACAAGAUUUCAUUCUUUUAUAUAGCUGCAUAAUUUUCCAGUGUGUGUACAUCUAUCUCAUAUCUUUUUUAUCCAUCUGUUUGUUGAUGAACACUUAGGUUGCUUCUGUUAUCUCGGCUAUUGUAAAUAUGCUGCAAUAAAAAUUAAAACUAACUUUUCAAAUUAGUGUUUUCAUUUUCUUUAGAUGUAUGCCCAGGAGUAGAAUUGCUGGAUCACAUGGUAGUUCUAUUUUUAGUUUUUCUGAGGAACCUGCCUACUGUUCUCCAUAGCAGCUGCACCAAUUUACCUAUUUACAUUCCUAUCGAAGUGUACUAGGAGCCCUGGUCUUCAUAUCUCUCUGAUACUUGUUACUUCUUGUCUUUAGGACUACCGUCAUCCUAACAACUGUGAGGUGGUAUCUCACACUGGUUUUGAUGUGCAUUUUCCUGAUGAUUAGUGGUGGGGAGCAUCUUUUCAUGUGCCGGCUGGCCAUCUACAUGUCUUUUUGGAAAAACGACUCUCUCUUCUUCAAUUCUGAAUGAUAACUUUGCUGGGUCAUAUCAUUGGUUGUAGUUUUUGUUUUUGUUUUUUUUUCCCUCCCCCCUCUUUAAGAA